rnacentral:rRNA from 1 species
UGCGAGUCGCGCGCCCGGGGGCGCCCGGGAGCGGCGCACGGCUCAGUAACACGUGCCUAACCUAACCUCGGGAGGGGGACACCCCCGGGAAACUGGGGUCAAUCCCCCAUAGGGGAAGGGCGCUGGAAGGCCCCUUCCCCGAAAGGGCCGGCGGCCGAUCCGCCGCCAGCCGCCCGAGGGUGGGGGCACGGCCCAUCAGGUAGUUGGCGGGUUAAAGGCCCGCCAAGCCGAAGACGGGUAGGGGCGGUGAGAGCCGCGAGCCCCGAGAUGGGCACUGAGACAAGGGCCCAGGCCCUACGGGGUGCAGCAGGCGCGAAUACUCCGCAAUGCGGGCAACCGCGACGGGGCUACCCCGAGUGCCGGGCGAAGAGCCCGGCUUUUGCCCGGUCUAAAAAGCCGGGAGAAUAAGCGGGGGGCAAGUCUGGUGUCAGCCGCCGCGGUAAUACCAGCUCCGCGAGUGGUCGGNGUGUUUACUGGGCUUAAAGCGCCCGUAGCCGGCCCGGAAAGUCGCUCCUGAAAUCCCCGGGCUCAACCCGGGGGCCGGGGGCGAUACUGCCGGGCUAGGGGCGGGAGAGGCCGCCGGUACUCCGGGGGUAGGGGCGAAAUCCGUUAAUCCCCGGAGGACCACCAGUGGCGAAAGCGGGCGGCCAGAACGCGCCCGACGGUGAGGGGCGAAAGCCGGGGGAGCAAAGGGGAUUAGAUACCCCUGUAGUCCCGGCCGUAAACGAUGCGGGCUAGCUGUCGGUCGGGCUUAGGGCCCGGCCGGUGGCGAAGGGAAACCGUUAAGCCCGCCGCCUGGGGAGUACGGCCGCAAGGCUGAAACUUAAAGGAAUUGGCGGGGGGGCACCACAAGGGGUGAAGCUUGCGGCUUAAUUGGAGUCAACGCCGGAAACCUCACCCGGGGCGACAGCAGGAUGAAGGCCAGGCUAACGACCUUGCCGGACGAGCUGAGAGGAGGUGCAUGGCCGUCGUCAGCUCGUGCCGUGAGGUGUCCGGUUAAGUCCGGCAACGAGCGAGACCCCCACCCCUAGUUGCUACCCCUCCCUACGGGGAGGGGGGCACACUAGGGGGACUGCCGGCGUAAGCCGGAGGAAGGAGGGGGCCACGGCAGGUCAGUAUGCCCCGAAACCCCGGGGCUGCACGCGAGCUGCAAUGGCGGGGACAGCGGGACCCGACCCCGAAAGGGGGAGGCAAUCCCGUAAACCCCGCCCCAGUAGGGAUCGAGGGCUGCAACUCGCCCUCGUGAACGUGGAAUCCCUAGUAACCGCGUGUCACCAACGCGCGGUGAAUACGUCCCUGCCCCUUGCACACACCGCCCGUCGCACCACCCGAGGGAGCCCUCUGCGAGGCCCCUCGCCGCAAGGUGGGGGGACGAGC